CACGUAGUUAGCCGGUGCUUUUUCUGCAGGUACCGUCACUUUCGCUUCUUCCCUACUAAAGAGGUUUACAACCCGAAGGCCGUCAUCCCUCACGCGGCGUUGCUGCAUCAGGCUUUCGCCCAUUGUGCAAUAUUCCCCACUGCUGCCUCCCGUAGGAGUCUGGGCCGUGUCUCAGUCCCAGUGUGGCCGGUCACCCUCUCAGGCCGGCUACCCGUCGUCGCCUUGGUGAGCCAUUACCUCACCAACAAGCUGAUAGGCCGCGAGUCCAUCCCCAACCAAAAAUCCUUUCCACCACCAGACCAUUGCGGCCAGUGAUCGAUAUCCAGUAUUAGACGUCGUUUCCAACGCUUAUCCCAGAGUCAGGGGCAGGUUACUCACGUGUUACUCACCCGUUCGCCACUAAUCCACCCAGCAAGCUGGGCAUCAUCGUUCGACUUGCAUGUGUUAAGCACGCCGCCAGCGUUCGUCCUCGAGCCACGGAUCGAAACUACGUA
rnacentral:rRNA from 1 species